rnacentral:lncRNA from 1 species
AUUAUUCGAUCGAUGGCAAUACAUAUCAUAUCUAUUGAUUGUUUCUUUACUCUAUUAAUACAUAAGGAAAUUCAGAUGUGGUGGCAAGACUGUAAAUUGAUUGUCAAAAUUUUCAAAAAAGGAUGUCAAUAAUCUCAACAUUUAACACCCGAGGGAACAUCUUAAACAUCACUAUAGUUUAGCUGGUAUACCCUCACUCUCAUACAUAAUUGCCUCACUGAUAAAAUACAUGCAGAUAGCAAAUCCUUGAUUGGAAUAUGAAUCACUCAAAAGUGGUGAUUGUAAAGUCCUCAUUUGAUUGCUUCAGAAUAUUCCUACUUCCAAUCUCUCUUGGUCUCUUGGGUGUAGUACAUGUAACAAAACACUGGAAAUGCCUUGAAAAUAUUCCAUAAUCAGAAGAUGCAGAUUUAGUUUAUGAGGAGCUCUAAAGCUCUGACUUCGAAUUCUUCUUUGAAGAGGUUGUCUUCUUUCCCUUCCACCACCGUUGAAUAUGAUUGGAAACUUUGGUUGCAUGUUUCUUAAGUGUCGUGCUCGUGUCCACAAUUCCUUUUCUUAUCUUCUGUUUCCAAUCACCUUUUUCAUUUUCUUUUGAUUUCAAAAUUUUUCCCUAUAAGUUGCAGUUUACUCCAAACAUCAGUUAUUCUAAAACAUUUUAAGUCGAGGUAAUCUUAGAAAAACACAUUUCAAUCACAGGAUGAAAUAGAUUAUUGUACCAAUUUUGAAGGAAAGUCUGCCUCAUCUUCUUCCUCAUCCUCGUCUUCAUCGUCAUCUUCAUUUUCAGCACCAAAAUUCUUUUUCAUUAAAUCAUCUCUUGAGUACAUUUUCAUGCCGGGUGCUCCUGGCAUGCCCUGAAGCAAUAAUUGAGUGUGGUAUGAUCAUAAUGUAUUACUAGCAACAGAAUGUGUCACGUUAAAUCAUGUAGAGAUAUAAAAGGAAAGAAAAAAGCAAAAUACCUCCAUAGAUUUUAGAAGUUUUUCCAUUUCAGCCUCCUUAGAAGACUUCGCAACAAAUGGUUCACCAGGAGUCCUAUCCUGUAACACACAAACAGAACUUCUGAUGAAAACUUAAGCAAAAGGUUCAUAGGGUGAAACUGAAAUACCUAAUUCAAACAAUAAUACUAGAUGCAUGUGAAGUUAAAUACUAUCAUAACAGAAAUGAAGUUCUAGCUUCCAAAUCACAUAGUCAGAAGUAGGGAGUCCAAAGUAAGGAUAGUCUAACUGAUGUAGUAGAGAGUUUGGGUCCUAAAGUGCAUACAAGGUGAGUGUAGAGUGGGGUGUUGUUUGCCGAUAGAAUAAUCACAGUUUAGAACAUAAAAUCCAAAUAAAUCAUCAUUUUAGUCCUUAAAAUUGUAUUGGUCGGUAAAUUUAGUCCCUCAAUUUUGUGAACUAGCAAUUUAGUCUCUUAAACUGAACAAUGCCAGUCAAUACAUUCAUUUAUUCAAAUUUAACUCCACAAUUUUGUGCUUAUUUUAUUGCAACAAAAGACUAUUCAAGUCAAUCUUUAAAUUUUUCAGUGAUCAUGGAUGAUUACUAAAGAGAUAUUUUGAAAAACGAGUGACAAAAUUGAUUGGUGUUAUUUAAUUUAAAGGACUGAUUUGUUAUUUUGUAAAUUUAAGGAACUAAAUUACUUGACUCUUACAAUAUCAAGGACCGAAAUGCUGAUUUACUCCAUAAAAUCCAAACACAUGGACAUAAAAUCCAGUUCAUAAGAAAUCAAAAGGAAGAGUGGAGAAACAGGGUUCCUUUGCACAGGAGUUAAGAACUCAUUGACGUGCAAAAGUAUUUCUCGGAUUGCAUUAGUGUCUUGUGGCAUUUUUUUUUGAGAGGGUCUGUUGUGGCAUUGAAAAAAAUAAGGUAGGAAACACUUGAUAUAAACUUCACCUAUAUUCGAAUGAAAUAAAAUAAUAUUGAUUUAAAAUACCCAAGAUAAAGCAAUAUCAGUGCCAACACACAUACUCAACUUUCUUUGUUUUUUGUAUUUUGUGAUUUUGUUUUCGUUUUCUUGUUUGACAAUGAACCCUAUAAACUCAAGUUGAAUGCUACAUAAAGUGCAUAAACCAUACAAUUCUGAUUUACUACAUAAUAGAGAAUUAAAAAUAUCUAUCACAAAUUCGCAAUCAAGCUUCAAAUAAUCAUAAAAAAUAUUACCGGGAGCAUCAAUUUCAGUUAAUAAUUACCUUAGGGACAGGGGGUGGCUUGGUAUUGCAUGCUUUACUAAGGUCUUUGCACAGAUAAUUGGUCAAUGAGUCAAUAUCAGGCUUGGAACUAUAUAGAUAUUCAGCAACAUCGGUAUCAGAAUAUCCCAUAACCUGCAAUACCAAAUCACUAAUUUAGUAAUCACAAAACCAACAAAGAAUUGGAAGCGAAGAUAUUUGAAAUGUACAAAUACAUAAAAAAGCAGAGAAAGCACAAUUCAGAUCAUGAAUGGUGCACCAUCAACACUGUUCUCAACUGACAGAGAACAAACAUUAAUGAAACUUAUUCCUUUUUUUCUUUUAUUUUCCCAUAAUUUUGCCAUUUCUAAACUAAUAGAGAACAAAAAGGUGCAAUUUGUUGGCAAGAAAGUACCAUACCUCCUGACAAGCACGCUCAACUGUCUUGCAUUCAGAAUUGCACUGUCCUUCAGAAUCAUGUUCCUCCAGCUGAUGAACACCAAAAAAUGGCAUAGCAAUGUCAAACUACAAAACAAAUAAUCCACAUUUUAUUGAUCAUACAUAAUGAAAAGUUGGAUCCUCUUACCUCCAACCUAUCUGCUUUUUCUACAAUAUCUAUACGCAAUAUCCAAUCUGCUUCAACCUUUUUUAGAUUACAAACAUUCUCUGCUAUCUCAAUGAUCUGGUACUCCGAGAUCUAACAACCAAUAACACACAAAAACAAUUAUAGUGCAUACAAUCCACAAAAAAACUUACACCACACAAUGAAGAACAGAAUAAAAAUAAAAGGACAAACUAACAACCUUCUUGGGGGAAAUCUCAGCUUUCUUGCUUUGAACUUGCUGAUACAACUGUUUUGCGAGUAUCUCACAAACUUGACACUUUAUGUAUGGUACAUCCUCCUUUCUAGCGAUCCCAACCGGUUUUUUGGCGCAGUGUGAGAGAGGAAUCCAUGAUGCAAUCACCACUGAUACAACUAGAAACCAAAAAACUCCCUUCAUCUUCCCAACUCGUAGUGCGUCUUGGCUUCAGAGUCAGCGGGUGCAAACUAUUUAAAAAAAUUAUAAUUAUAAUCAUGCAUAGGAAAAAGAUCUACAAUAUGUAUUCCGAUUUAAACCAACUUCUCAAAAAGAUGCCUAAUUCCAACAAUUCCGUUUUGCUUUUUAGCUACCAAUAUUGAACUUAGCUCUGAUAAAUGAAUCUAACAUAAUUAAUAACAAUAGCAGUAAAUACUUCUGUUCAUCCAAAAAAAAGGCAGAAAAUACUCCAUCUUUCAAUUUAUUUUUUUGAUUAGAUGCUCUCGAUUUAUAGUACAUGUAUAUAACAACUUAAAGAAAGAGACAAAUCAAGAUGAGUUAUCGAUUAAAAUCAAUAUAACAUUCAAGAACAGAUACAAGGAAAAGAACUAUAUAAUCUCAAAGAAUACAUAAUGUCAUAAGCACAAGACUAGCCAAUGUUUUGGUUAAAUUCCAAAGUUCGACUUUUGUUGCCUAAUCGAAUUUAACAGAAUGAAAUUUACCUACAAGUUAACCUUGAUCCUUCUUGAACCAAAGGAUAUAAAUAACAAACAUCGAAACCCCUCUAGACAGACACAUACCAAAAACCUAAUACUAAUAGUAUAUGUAGUCAGAUAUUUAUGAAUAUAAAUCCACUAUUUGAGUUUACUGUUAGGAGAAAUGCAUAAAUCACUUAAUCAUAUAUAAUCAACUAAAUACCCAAGUUACUCCUUGAAAUUGUAGGGCUAUAUCAACCUAGUCCCCUACAUUAUCAUUAUCCCAAACUAAUCCAUGAAAUUUCAAAUGCAUUCUCGAUAUUUUUCACUUAGUUUUGAAUUCAUCCUCAAUAGUACCAACUCAAUGUCAUCCUAGUCCCUAAAAAUUCUAACAUAGAGACAAAUUUGAUAAAAAAAAAAAUCCAGUUUCAGGGAUUGUUUUUGAAUAUUGAUAAUGUGAGGAGAGGGACAAGAUUUAAGUGAUUAUACAUUUCUCCUAAUAGGAUUCUAAUCAACGCCAAUCAAUUUUUUUGUCAGAAGCAACAAAGAAAAUAAGAACACUACAAAACCAGGACAGAUUAAUCAUAAGCUUAGUAUAUAUUAGCCACUUAAAAAAUGAAGAAAAAACAAUCCUUUAUAUUAAUUGCAUAACAAUAACAAACAAUGCAUAUAUAAUUUCAACAAACUAAGCAAAUAAGGCAAAUGUAGGGUUUAACAGUGAAAUUGAAAUUGUAAAGUUCAUCAAUUGAUUCAAUUCAACCAAUCAAUUAGCUAUUUUUAACCAUAUGAAAUAAAAAUUAAAAAACAGAUUAGGAUUGAUUCAUUAAUCUAGGGUUUAGUUAAAAUCAAAUUGGGAAAAAUUGAAAAGGGUAAUGGGAAGAAGAGAACAAACCAAGAUGAAGGAGAAGAGAGAGAUGGCGAAAGCUUGAAGAGAGUGACACUGAAGAAGGAAGAAAGACUCAAAGGUUUCUUAAAAAUUGCAUUUUUAUUCAUUUGUGAAUUGUGAUUGGUCCAUGGAAGCAACAAAAUAGUGGGUCCCAAUUUUCAACCAAUAAGGAACAAGAUACCACGUAUUAUGAUUCAUAUUUCCAAAUUUACCAUGAAUCAAAGUCCAUGUUUGAGUCAAUGCUCCAAAUCCAAUGAAAAAAAUGUUGGAGUCAAUGCAAAAAACUAAGAAAAUGUACUUGGGAAAAUCAUGACAAAAAUGUUCGCGUGCAUAUCCGUAGAUAAAAUCAACCACAAAUACAAUGAUAAUAUUUUAACGAGUUAUGUAACACAAACAAUUUUAAUCGAAUAUGUAUAAAAUGCCUGAUAGAUAGUAUAUUAUUGUUUGAUAUUGAGACAUGUACUAACAUUUAAUUUUUUUUCUUCGCAAGAUAAUUAAUGGUGUCGACAUGUGCCACUUUCUCCAAAAAAAAUUAAAUAAAUUUUAAUAAAUAGUUGAAAGUUUUUUCUCUUCAAUUUUUUGAGUUUGUAGGGGGUACGUAGAGUAAUUGAAGGGUUCUAACUUUAAGUAAAUUUUUCUAAAACUAAACCCAACAAAAAUAGAACUAGCCCAAACCCUAAACCAUGAUAAAUUGCAAAAUUCACAAUUCAUAAACCCUAAAAAAACAAACUUUAACAAAAAAAAAACACCAAAAAACCAAAACCCUCGCAUCUCUGUCUUUGUUCUCAUGGAAACGACAAGUUUGAUUCCUCAUGUUGGUGAAAACUACACCCUCAAGCUGAAAAACACCAUGCAAGAAAUUCUAUCAAAACUUCCCAAAGAAUCCCCUGAAUUUUCUCAUUCCAUUGAUGCAUUACAUGAACUGAUGCAAACCAAAGUUGACCCACCUUUUGAUGUGAUAUGGGUCUAUUCUGCAAUCAAAUUUGGUUGCAGAAAAUCUCUUAAAGGUGAUAACUUGGAACAAAUUUCAGCUGCAAAAGCACUUUUUCAGCUGAUUUCUGCUUGUUCAGCUUCUGUUGGUGGUUCAAAGAGUAUUGCUUUACUUGCUCCUGUUGUUUUUAUGAUACAUAGUGUUGUUAAGGAACUUUUUGAAUUGAAAAGGGAAAAGAAAGCAAUGAAGGAAGUGAAAUCUUUGGUUGAUAUGAUUCUUGGGUUUAUGAGUAUUUGUUGUAGUAAAAUUUCUGAAGAGGAAGAUUUGGAUUUGGUUUUGUCUUUGAAUGAUUUGGCUCGUCUUUGGGUCGAUGAUGAUGAUGAUGAUGCAAAUGAUGGGUUUGAAACGUUGUUGCCUCUUGUGAGUAGUGAUGUUUGUGGUUGGAUUUGUGGUGGAAAGUUUCAUGUUGGUUAUUUGGCUGGUGCUGUUAUGAUGGAAGUGUUUUUGCUUAAAUUGUGUCUGUUUUUUGAUAUGGGAAUGGAAAAGGGUGAAUUGGAAAUGUAUCUUAAGAGUUGGAGUGUUGGCUCAAUUUCUAGCUUUCAGAAUGUGUACUUUUUGGGUGAGGUUUAUUUUGUUUUUGGUUUAAAUUUAAAUUUGUAGUCCAUGUUUUAUUUUUUACCUUAAAACCUAUGAAACAUUGGUACUAACACAUUGACAUGUUGACACUGAUAAUACUUCGAGAAAAUGAAAUAGUUGAAUGUAACUAUAUAUUUGUCUGUGUCGUGUCGGUGAUGUACAUUAUCGACACGUAUUGGACAAUAGGCAUACAUUCAAUGUGAAGUGUCGGUGUUGCAUAGCUUAAAACUUUCAUCGGAUGAUGGAUAAAUUUCAUUCAAUGUCCUUUUUGGGUGAGGUUUUAUUGUUUUUUUGUUUUGUUUUGAAUAUCAAUUUCCUACUACAUAUUUUAGCUUAAAACUACAGAACACUGAUAUAGACACCUACACCACACAUAUUAAGACCGAUACUAAUUUGAGAUAAUGUAUCGAUCCAUGACGUGUACCAGAUAUGCCUUUAGUGUGAAUUGUCGGCAUUACAUAGCUUAACUUUUUAUCUGGAUGAGGGAUGAAUUCGGUGUAUGUUUGGAUUGACGGCUAUGAAGCACGGACACCGGACACGACACGGACAAUGACACGCCGACACAACUAAUAAUUUGAAAAAAUCACAUAAUUCAGUGUAAUUACAAGUGUCGGUGUCGGACACGACACGUGUCUGACACCGGGACACACCUAAUCCGAGGAGUGUCCGUGCUUCAUAGAUUGACGGUGAGUUUGUUAAAAUUACGGUGAUGUUUUGUGAUGCUCCAAAGUAUAGCUUUUAGCAAAAUCACGAUGACUCACGGUGAUUCUGCCAAUUUCACCGCCAAUUCGAACAGACCAAAUUAAACAUACUUAUAUUUAGUUUAGCUUGUUUCAAUUGUGUUUCUCAUCUGUGUUGUUCUUUGUUUAAUGUUUAACGUGGAUUUAUCUUUUGUACAAUCAGAGGUUCUUAUGAGGACAACAUUAGAGACAUCUUUGCCUCUGAACUCAAUACUGGUUAGUAUUUCAUCCUUGUUUUUUAUUCCAUAUCUGCAUUUUAAUCACACCAUACAUUUUCCUUGUGUAUUGCAAUAAUGUCCAACACCAUUAUUUUUAUGGAUAUUGAUUAUCACUUGUACUAUUAGUUUUUUCUAUAGACUUUUAGUACAACGUUCAAGUAUUUAUCUCAAUUCAUUAUGCAAGCCAUUAAAGCUGCUAACAUUUGGAUAUGUCUUUGCAGAAAGCUAAAGAUGAAUUUCUGUUAAAGAAAGUUUUGCUUGAUGCUGUACUAUUGGUGGAGUAUUCUUUUAUCUAUGAAAAUGCCAAGAACAUAAAAAGCCUUGCCUUGACCAGAUUGAUUCUUACACAUGUGGCUGUAGAGUAUCUUAGGUAUGAAGAAUUAGUUAUUGUAUGGUGUAUUUUAUUUAUACAUACAUAUAGCUCUUUAUUUAACAUUUGAAGCAUAAUUUCUGUUAAUGGUUUGAUGUAGGGAAUUUGAUCAGAAUAGAAUCAUCUCUUAUAGUAAGGCAUUUUCUACUUCCAAUUUACCUUCACAAAUAAUUAAACUGGUUUCAAACCAGAAUGGUAUCGAGGAAAAUUCCGGCAAGACAUUUGGAUCCUCACCGAGAGCACUUAUAAGUAAAUUGAUUUUGUUCUUCUAAUAUCUAUGGUUUCAGAAAUGGUACCUAAUGAAGUACGGCUAACAUAUUUCAUAAUUCAUUCUAGAUUGGUUGCUGCGCCUUGAGAAUUUAGGAAUUAGAGUUUUUGAAGACGAUACUUUGAAAAGUCAUGCUAAGUUAUGUCCUGACAUUUCCCAAAUGGAGCAAUCCGCUGCUGGUACCUUAGACGACAAGGUAACAGAUGAAGGCCUUUUUUUUGUUGACAAUGUUGGAGAAGAGGAAAAUGCAGGUGAGGAGGAUAACCAAAGUAAAUUGAUUAGUGACGCGUUUGUAGCAGCUGCGCAAACUAUGAAGUCAAGUGACAAUGAAAGUCGAAAACGAAAAGGGAAAAGCAGUGGAAAGAAGGUUAAAUUUGUCAAGUAUGACCUUAAUCAAAAGUCUGUUCCGGUCAAAGGUGGGACUUCAGCUUCAAAUGACAGUUCAAGUGAUGAGAGUGAAGUGGAGGAUCCAAAUUCAGAUUCAGAUGCCUAAGCUUUAAGUUACAAACUGAUAUUCAGAUUCACAAUCAUGUUUUGCUAUUACAUGAUGGGAGGUCUUAGGGGCAGUGAGAAGUUACAUGUGGCCUCAUAUUUAAGUUUUGUCAUGAUUAUAUUUCCUGAGCUUGAUGAUUUAAUGCAAGGCAUGCUGUAACAAGUUUUGGCACAGUUACAUUUCAUUUAACAUUAGAACUAUCUUGUUGAGUUAGUAUUUUCCUAGUAAUUCGUUUUUAGAUUUUUUUUUUUUUUUUUUUUCUUCGACCGAGUUUGACUCCACUCCUUAUCCCUUAGCUCAAGAUGAAGACCUCAAAUGCAAUUUUGUUAUCUUUUUCCAAAAAAAUUAUUAAGUAUUUUUAAGAAUAAACAAUCAAUUUAGUUGUCAAACUUUUUCUUUUGCCAAAAGUUAAUUCUCAAAUUAUCACCAAUGCUUCAAUUUAUUUCAUUAAACCAGUGCGCACUAGUUAACAUUUCUCAUAUAUUAUGUUUUUAUUAACCGAGUUAAAUUCACGAGAAUGCUUCACCCUAAAUUUAUAUGAGAAAUGUUAACGAGUGUUCGUGACACUUUUUAAAGGUUUUAAAUGAUAAAUUUUUAUGAAAAUUUAUGUAUGUAAUAUAUUGAAAAUUAAAAUAUUUUACUUUAUUAAAGACUAAUUUCUUAGCGUGAAAUUCUUAAUUAAUUAUUAUCACAUAAGUACUUUUUAACGAGACUCAAUUUUUUCUCUAAUAAAAUAGUAAAAAGUUACAUGUUUUUUUUUUUUUGUCAGGAACUCACAUUUUUAAUGUGAAGAAGUUGGGUGUCCGGGAUUCAAACCCCGACCCCUACAUAUAAUAUGCAUUUGUCCUUGUCAAUCGAGGUAAACUCACGGGGACCAAAAGUUACAUGUUAUAUUUAUAUGGUUUGGAGUGUGAUAGUUUAUAGAUUAAAUUGAUAGUUAAUUCUAUUUUAAUUUUUAUAAAAUUGACUUUAAGAUCUGACAAUAGUUAAGACCUAAGACAUGAAGUGAAUGGUGUGCUACAGACAGUAAAGUACAAUAGACUUAGUCUGAGAUGUUUUCUUCUGGUUGGUUGAAUAUUCAAACCACAUACACACUCAUUUAAAAAUAAAAAUAUUAAAUAAAUAAAAAAAAUGACGCACGCAACGUAGUAACACACAUCUACACCUACCUAAGCUAAGAAUCAAUUGAAUUGAAUUAUUUGAAUCACUAUUCUUUCCGUAUUCUUGUUUUGAAGGACUUGUUUUUGGACUUUGAAUAGUCCAAAUCCAAAUUCUCUCUAAUGGCAGCAUCAUCAGAAUCCAUACUCGAUCACAUCCCUCUCUUUGCCAAAGAACUUCUAGCCGGUGGUCUUGCUGGUGGCUUUGCUAAAACUGUUGUUGCUCCUCUUGAACGUCUCAAAAUUCUUUUUCAGGUACUUUCUUUAAUUCUCCUUUUUAUGUCAAGUACAAGUACUCACUCACACAUAAUGAGAAAAUCACACAAUUCUUUAAUCACAAAUGUCCGUGCUACAUACCUUACUUCUUUGCUUUUUUGUUUUCGAAAUGCUUUUGUGUGAUUUCAUUUAAUGUUUGAUUAAUCUUGAAUCCUAGACACUUAAUGAAAUAAUUUAGAGAAUCACAAAAUCCGAGUUUUGCAUUCCCUAAGUCCUAACCAUUACUUUUACAUAAAAGGGGAACUUAACUUUAACUGCUUAAACUAACUCACCUGAAUCAGUAAGUUAGUUACAGUUACAGACAUAAGGUGUGAUCUUGGAUACUAUGAAGCACCACCCACACCAAACAUGGGCACCAAAGUUGACACAAGUAAUAGUUUGAAAAAAUGAAUUAAUUGAAAACUAUGAAGCAUGGACACCAAACAUGAAAUUGAUACCUCUGACACCGAUAAUAAUUUGAGAAAAUGAAUUAAUUGGAUGUAAUCACAUAUGUUAUGUCGUGUCGUUGUCCAACAUCAGGAUAUCAGACACGUCUUCCUCAAGAACUGUCGGUGCUACAUGUAAUGUAAUACUUUUGAUUAUACAUCUCAAUUUUAUUCUUUCCCUUAUAAUUAUCAUUCUCAACUUUUCACUUCUAGCAGUAUGGAUGUUUUCCCUCUUUUUUCUUAUGCUUUUUCUGUUAUGCAUAGUUGCAUACACUAGUAAAGUAAAGAUAUUGUGUAAGAUUGCGCGAGUGUGGGGAGAUAAUGGUUGGAAACAGAGACAUGGAAUUUCACUGCGUGCAAUUAGUGAAUGGCUUUUCUUAAACUAAGCGACCAAUUGACCAUAGAUUGAUUAAUCACAAUCAUAUUUUGCAGACCCGAAGAACUGAGUUUCGUAGCGCAGGACUGUCUGGAUCAGUUAGGAGAAUUGCCAAAACCGAAGGCCUUUUGGGGUUCUACAGGUAUAUAUAGAAAUCAUAGGUAGGUGAUUUAUCUUUAAUCAAUUAAUCAGAAUCACCAAUGUGAAGUUAUUUGCAGGGGAAAUGGAGCAAGUGUGGCAAGGAUUAUUCCUUAUGCAGGUCUUCAUUUUAUGUCCUAUGAGGAAUACCGAAGAUUGAUCAUGCAAGCCUUUCCUAAUGUUUGGAAAGGUCCUACCCUUGACCUAAUGGCAGGGUCACUCUCUGGAGGGACGGCUGUGCUUUUUACUUAUCCACUUGACUUAAUUCGGACUAAGUUAGCUUAUCAGGUAAAUUAUAUUUCUGCUCAGAAAUCAAAUCAGUUUUCAUCCAUGACUUUGGUUGUAUUUUGUGAUCUGCAGAUUGUUAGUCCAACCAAGUUGAAUGUUUCCGGGAUGGUAAAUAAUGAACAAGUUUAUCGAGGGAUCCGUGACUGUCUUUCAAAAACCUAUAAAGAGGGUGGCAUUAGAGGUCUCUAUAGGGGAGUAGGUAUGCAUUUAAAUCUGCUUGUGUUUGGAACUAUUAAUUCAGCAGCAGUAUUGUAUUUCACUGCUGUGUUGUUAUUGUAGAACUCUUAUGUUAAUCAUGGCCACAGCUCCGACACUCUUUGGAAUAUUCCCAUACGCGGGUUUGAAAUUCUACUUCUAUGAGGAAAUGAAGCGCCGCGUCCCUGAGGAUUACAAGAAAAGCAUCAUGGCGAAACUGACAUGUGGAUCCGUGGCCGGUUUAUUGGGUCAGACAUUCACAUAUCCUCUUGAAGUUGUCAGGAGGCAAAUGCAGGUAACGUGCUUUAUUUGGUCGGCUGGAAAUUAUAGAUGGAUAUUGAGUAACAUGAUACAAAGUUAACCUGUCUAGGUUCAAAACCUUGCGGCAUCUGAAGAAGCCGAAUUGAAAGGCACUAUGAGAUCCAUGGUUUUGAUUGCUCAAAAGCAAGGCUGGAAGACCCUGUUUUCAGGGCUGAGUAUCAAUUACAUAAAGGUCGGAAAAUCAUAGAACAUUAAAGUAAUUAACACUCUAGAACCGUUCUGUAUAACUAAGCAUUUUUGUUUGUUUGUUGCAAUUCAGGUUGUUCCAUCUGCGGCCAUUGGCUUCACAGUUUAUGAUACUAUGAAAUCAUACUUGAGAGUACCAUCAAGAGAUGAAGUGGACUAACAAAAGAAUCAGUCAACCAUCCUCACAUUAGGAAUAAGCUCCUAACUCCUCCAGGCUUCAAAACUGGCUUCUUCUUCUCAUUAUAUUCACAUUGUUUUCACACAUUACUUUAGCUGCACAUUGCAUUCUUUCGGAUUGUAAAUAGAGAUUAGAGGUUGUUACACACUAUACCAACAAACAAUACCCUGAUUCAGAUCUCAUUGAAGUAGGAAAUAGUUUCUUUGUGGUUUAGACAGGACAAACUGUUUAUGUACAAUUAACAAAUAAAUUAAUUGCACUUUUUGAAUGUGCAAGUAGAGAUAAUGAUAUAGAAAUGUUGACACAGUCACAUCCUUUCACUGUAUUCAGUUUAUCUAUGCAGCCACUGAAAUUCUAUUGCCUUCCAAUUAUCAUUAGUUAUUUUAGACAAGCAAUGCUGAAUAAUAUAUAUCCGAGACCGAUUCAGCAUUGCAACAUGCUCAUAUUUGUGUGGAAAAGAGGAAAGGAAAAUUAUUUACCAACACUUCACCCACCCACACAUCCGACCAAAACCAAGUAUUCUCCCCAUUACCAACACCACAAUGAACAUUAUCCAUAAACCACUCCUCCCUACUCAACACCUCUACAUCACGCCACCACAAAGAUGAGUUGCGCCCCCCACACCGCAACCGCCCCUCUGACAAGGCAUACCGCGCUGACAGCACCCUAAACCACAUACUCUCCCUCUCCACCAACAUCCGCCAACACCACUUCCUUAACAACGCACUAUUAAACUCCCUAAUUCUCCUUACCCCCAAACCACUAACCUCCUUAACCAGACGACCGCUGAAGGAUAAAUGUUUGGAGUUCCAGCUAGAUAGUCUAGAUUUAAUUCGAUAAAGUAAUGGUUCCCAAAAAGCCAACCGCCUCGCAUUACCACCAAUGGGAAGCCCCAGAUACACAAAAGAGAUGGAACCAACCUUACAAUUCAACACCAUAGCUGCUUCCGCUAACCAGGAGGCUGACACGUUAACCCCAACCAACUAGCUCUUAGAAAAAUUCACCUUCAGCCCAGAUAGAGCUUCAAAGAGAAUGAGAACCGCCUGCAUAGCUCGAAUAUUGCCCCAAGACUUCUCACCCAAAAUAAGAGUAUCGUCCGCGAAUUGAAGAUGAGACACAACAACAGGGGCGCUACUACCCACCUUAUAACCAACAAAUAAACUAUUGUCUGACAUAGAAUUCAUCAACACAUUGAAACCUUCUGCAGCCAAAAGAAAUAGGAAAGGAGAAAGAGGGUCACCUUGCCUCAAUCCCCUCCACAAAGAGAAUUCAUCCGUUGGAGAGCCAUUUACCAAAACAUAAGCGGUAGCCGUCUCAAUGCAUUCUUUUAUCCAUUUGCUCCAAAGAGCCGGAAACCCCAUUUUCAGCAUCACAUUUUGUAAAAAAACCCUAGUCAAUAGAGUCAUAUGCCUUUUCGAAGUCCACCUUAAACAGUAAAAGAUCCUUCUUGAGUCUAUGAGCUUCAUCAACUAUCUCAUUAGCCACCAGAAUCCCAUCAAGAAAUAACUUAAGGAAUCACUGACCGAAGUCUAUUAGCUAACACCUUAGCCAAAAUUUUAUACAAGCUUCCCACCAAAGAAAUGGGGCGGAAAUCAUUCAAACGUUGAGGACUGUCAACCUUCGGAAUGAGAGCAAUAAAGGUACUAUUUAUCUCCUUAGCCAAUUUCUCAUUCCUAUGAAAUUCUUGCAAAAAAACGCAUCACAUUGUCUUUCAGAAGGUCCCAAUUUUUUUUAAUGAAACUAAACGAUAUACCGCCAGGACCCGGACACAUAAAAUUGUCACAAUCCUACACUACUGCCUUCACUUCAUCAAAUGAAAAAAGCUUAAUCAAACCAGCCCCCUCUCCACAAGACAAAGUGCGAAAGUGCACGUUAUCCAUAGAGGGGUGAACAACACCACUAGGACGAAAAUGGGUAGAGAAAUGGGAAAACACUACACUCGAACAUUAUUGACACCUUCAACCAACACCCCAUUCACCAAAAAGAAAGGAAUAGUAUUUCGACUGGACAUAACGCAAUGAAAAAACUUGGAAUUUGCAUCCCUUUCACGCAACCAUUGCAUCCUCGAUUGUUGCCAACAAAUACUAGAAUUCAAGCGCGAUAAUGAAAACAACUCCUCAGAAAAACCAUGAAGGUCCUCGACCUCCUCCUCCAGUAAAUCAACUGAUUCACCUUUUAAAUCAAUAGCUGAAAUUUUAUCUUUCAAAGACAAAAUUUUUGCAGGUAAAUUUUGUGAUGAGUCUGACAAAUAUACAUCAGGGCCGAACAUUUUUCAUGCAUCUGUUAACAGCAGCAGUUCCCCUAUUUGGUCUUCCAUCAUCCGUGCUAAAGAGAUUCUAAAAAAUGGCUAUUCUUGGCGCGUAGGGUCUGGCUCUUCUUCUUUCUGGUUCAGCCUUUGGAGUGAUUUUGGCAUUCUUGGAUCUCAAAUCCCCAUCAUAGACAUCCAUGAUCUUCAUCUCAUUGUUAAAGACGUUCUCACCUUAAGUGGUAAUAGAGCUCAAUUGAUGUAUACCACUCUCCCUCAAGCUGUGUCCGAUUUCUUCAACAAUGCCACAAUUAUGUUUAAUGACGCAAUAGAGGAUGCUUUUGUUUGGCCUCUCAACAAGAAUGGAGUCUAUACCACCAAAAGUGGUUACAAAUGGCUUCUCUCUCUUCCUGGUUCGAACAAUAAUACCAACUUGAAUUCUUCUUGGUCCUGGAUUUGGAGACUUAAAAUUCCUGAAAAAUUCAAGUUUUUCAUCUGGCUUGCCUGUCACAACUCUAUCCCCACCUUAUCUUUGCUUAACCAUUGUAAUAUUGCUCCUUUAGCAACCUGCUCUCGUUGUGGGCUGCAUAAUGAGACAUUUUUUCAUUGCGUUCGUGAUUGCAAAUUUUCUAGAAAUAUUUGGCAGCAUAUGGGUUUUAUUGAUCAUGCUUUCUUUGACGAAGAUUGUGUUGCUAAUUGGCUUAGGGAGGGAACAUCUCAGGUACUCACACCAUUAUUUUUUCAGCAUGUUUGUGGUGGGUUUGGAGAUGCCGCAAUUCUAUGUGUCUGAGCAAUGAGCAUAUGUCGUUAACGCGGUUGUCAGCAAAUAUUAUGAGCUUAGUUGAGGACAUUAACCUCGCCUUUUCAUCUCCAAUUCUGGUCUAACUUAAAACAUAUUUAAUAAAACAUGUGUAACAAUUAUGAAUAAAUAGCGAAGCAAACAAAGCAUUGAACAUAAUUAUGAUCGGAUCUAUGGCAUGUUUGAUUUAUCAAGGAUAUUAACAAUUAGAUCCGCUAUGUUUUUUUUUUUAUUACACUAAUGCUUAUACUUUUUGUUUUAGUGUUGCAUAAUAUAAUAUGUAUAAUUAUUUUUAUAAAAUUUAGAUUUUAAUUAAAAAUAUAAGUAUAGAUGCCUAAAAAAGUUAUACUUAUAUAUAUUUUUCACCUUUAUAUUGUAACAAACUAUGCAUAUCUUUUUCUUAUUAAAAAAAUCCAAACAUAUAUUUUUCAAUGACAUCAACAAUGUAACAAAUAUAAUAUUUAAAUUAAAUUUAUUCUUAUGUGUUAUUUGUGAGGAAAUUUUUAAAAAGAAAAAAGCGGAACGGUUGUUGGGUCGGUCGGUUUCUUGUUCUUUUUUUAAUAACCCUUCUUAUCUCGUAUCUAGCGCUGAGUUUUUGUUUUACAACAACAACAGACGCAUCGCAUCGGAUCGGAUCUGAAUCUCCAUGGCAAACGAACAUGAACAUGGAAUUCUGGGGUUUGUGGAGGAAGUAAAAUCUGUGUUUCAUGGUAAGAGGGAAGAGUAUGAAGAGUUUAUAAAAGACAUAGAUGCUUUUAAGACCCUGAUGAAUGAUCAUCGAAUCACCAGACUUCCAGUUCAAAAUUUCAAAGGAAGGAUGAAAAAGUUACUUAAAGGGCAUAAUCGUUUAAUUUUUGGAUUCAACGCCUACAUGAAGGAUCGUCGUAUCACACUUCCAAUUCGACAACCAGUACGAGGAGGUCAUAGUAAUGGUUAGUACUUUUUUUUUAUGAUUAUGUUGAUUUUUUUUUUCUUUCUAUAUUAUUAUAUACACUUUCCUGGGGGAAAUUUUGACUCACUUCCAGUGUGUUAUUUGCAAAAUUGAAUACAAUUUCUCCAACAAAUAACUGUCUGCUGUUUGUUUAAAUAUUAUUAUUCGUUUGUAGCUAGGUAUGAUAAUAGAUGAGUUUCCUACAUGAGUGAGUUACUGUAUAUAACAACAUUAUCAACCCCCUCAAUCUAACUUUUUUAGUGUACCAAAGCUUAAAUCAUGAACUAUCUAAUUCUUUUUCCUUUUCACCCAACCAUUUAGUUUCUUAUAUGCACAAAAAUAAUCUUCCUUCUAGUCAUAUAUAUUGUCCACUAUUUUCAUAGGGAAUUCCAUGUCCAAAAAUCAAUCCUACUUUCACGAACCCAUGUCUUUACCCACACCCAUUCAUGAAGAUGUUCCCGUUCAUUUGACAUUGUACUUAAGCUAUACAACACAUUGUUUCCGGGAUACGACCCAACAUUCACACUAUUAAGUAAAGUUUUACCGUUGUUGUUGUUGACGCCUAACACAACCCUAUCAUUCCAUCUGGAAAUGGGACCGGCUAUUCAUUGCAAUGCUAUAACUAGGUAGGAUUGGAAAUUAAACAUCAAAAAAUAAGGAUAAUACAUAAUUAUAUUGUAUUAUAUUUAUAUGUUGGUCUCAAUAUUUGUUUAAAAAAAAUGGGAAAAUAAUAUUUCUUUAUCUCCUCAUUUUCUAUGAUAUUAUGGGUCCAUAAUAAUAAUAUAGAAAGAAAAAAAAACAUGUUUGUAAAUCACCUAACAUCGUCGUUUGUUGUGAUACAAAGGACAAAAAAAGAAGAAGGUAGAAGAGAACUGUCAACUUCCUUGGGAUUUGCUUGACAUCAUUUUGAGGAAUCUAGAUUUUGAUGACCUCUUUCAAUUUGGUAGUGUAUGCAAAAAUUGGCGAGAAUUUCAUAAAAUUUAUUGGAGGAAUUUCAUGGCAUCCGAAGAACCAUUACUUAUCCAAUGGUGCGCUGUUAAGAGAUCUCUCAACUUCUUCAGCUUACCUCACGAUAAAGUUUAUCACUCAAAGAUGAUCAAUAACUACUUCCGAUUUGUCUAUCAUGGGUCUUCUAGCGGAUAUUUCAUCAUGACACGAAAAGAUAAUUCAUUUAUACUUAUUAAUCCAUUUACAAGAAGAAAGAUGCUAAUCAAUAACUCAGUCUUCCAAGUUAAUUUCAGUUAUUUUUCCUGCAAAGUCUUGCUUGCUUUUUCCAAAGGCUCAAAGGAAUUUGUCUUGGUGGUUUCAUGUAAAAAUUCUGAUAAUUUGCAUGUCUAUCAAUCUCGAAAUCUUUGUUGGACUGCUUAUUCGACACCACAGAAGGUUGUUGACUUUGCUGUUUUAAAUUCUAUCAUAUAUGUUGUCACUGACAAGGCCAGCAUAGGGAUACUCAGCUUGAAAUAUGCAAAUAUAAAUUUUUUAGAACUGAAGAGUACUCCUGGUGUAACUUCUAGUCGUUAUUGGUCACACGUAGGGUUGGUUAGUUGUGAUGGAUAUCUUUUAGUGCUUAAUUUUAUGUCAAAGGUAACGUAUAACGUGUACAAGAUAGACUUCUCUACCAUGGAUUAUGUCAAGUUGGAAUCUUUGGGUGACAUUGCAAUAUUUUGUGUUCCGCCGAAAAGGUAUUAUGCAUUGAGCAACCCGCACAUGUGGGGUUAUGAGAACAAUUCUAUAUAUGCCAUCGAUGUUCCAUGUGGCAAAUACAGGGUGUAUAAAGGAGAUAACAAAAAAAUGCCAGAAUUCAUUAUUCCUGGUUUUAAACGUAGUGAACUUCCACAUCCUAUUUAUUGCCGCUCAAAACAACGUUACAUAGAUUGGUGUUUUAGACAUCUACAAUAUGAGGUAGAUUAUACUCUCGUUGAGUAGCAUGCUUAUUACCCUACACUUUGGGUUGGACCUUGUUCUAUUUGUUUUUCUUUUGAUUUGCAAAUAAAUGGACAUGAUUUAAUGGUUUACGGUGUUAUUAUUGGACAAGUUUUGAGAUAGUAUAGAGGAUUUAAUGUACUUUUUCCUAACUUGUAGUUGUAGCAUUUCUUGUCGUGGAUUGUGGCACAUUGAGGAGAAGCAUAUCAUGCACCAUGAAAGUUUUGAAUAUGUUUUGACUUGGAAGAGAACCGAUUUUAUAAUAGAAUUUUGAUAUGAUUUUUUUUUUACCAUUAUAUUUUUCUCGAAAAUGAAAUUAAUAGUGAUUCCUUUCCCUUUGCCUUACAAUACAACAAGCAUUUUACGAGAAUCUGAUAUUAAAUUUUGAGAACUAAUGAGAAUCUGAUUAAAUUUGGAAAACUAAUGAGAAUCUGAUAUUAAAUUUUGAAAACUAAUGAUUUAUUUAAUUUUUUCUUAGAGAACUAUUGAUUUUUUAUAUGUAAAUUAGUGAUAUUAAGAGAUUCAAAGAGGUCCUUAAAUAAAAAGAAGAUGAAAUGAGAUUAGAAUAAACUAUUUUUCUAAAUUCAUGGCAUAAAAUAGUAGUAUAAACUUUUUUCCUAUAUUAUUUAUGCCAUAAUACAUUACUUUUUUCCAUAUAUUUAUAGAAAUUGGAUAACAAGGAGGACAAAGUGGAAACAAAACAAAUUGGUUUUAUAUUAUGCAAAAUGAUCAUUACGCACAUAAAAUCAAUAUCAUGAAUUUUAAAAAUGAUUCCGUCAAGUUAUCUUUAUUAAAAGAAAAGAAUUAAUGUUGGCAACUCAUUCCGAAGUUAUCUUUCUCUUUUGUUCUCAUCGAUUGAAUAAAUCCUGUUUUUGUUUUAUUGUUCUCCUAUAUCAUGUAUUUGUAGAUAUUUUAAUUUCAAAUUUUUGGGAUAUGGUGUUCACAUGUGUGUAUAAAUUCGAUUGGGUAAAUUCAAUACUCGCUCCGUUCCUUUUUAAGUGUUUCUUUUGAACAAAUAUUUUGUUCCAAUUUAACUGUCACUUUUAAAGUUCAAUGUAAUAUUAAAUGGUGUUUUACCAAUAUUAUCCUUACUUAUUUAUUGCAGAGAGAGACAUAUAUGAAAUUAGAUAUUAAACGAAUAAGAUUAUUAUAGUAAAAGUAUACAUUGUUGUAUCAAAAGUAGUAACAUUCAUUGAAUGUCUUGGUUUGUAUAAAAUGUCAAAAAUUAACAAUUAAAAAGGAACGGAGGUAGUAACAUAUGAAGUCAUCAUAAGUUAGCUUCAAUCGGCACACAACCAUCAUCAUCCAUGGCCUAUGAUGAUUUCUUCUCUCUUAUGUUUUUGUAACAUGGCCUCUAAUGAUUUUCUUUGAUUCGUUGUGGGAGGAAUUGCUAUGUGAAAUAAAAAAAAUUACAUUGUUCAGAUAAAUAGUUAACAAUCUGUGGCUUUUCUAGGCAUUAUUCAAUGAAAGCAGUGAACUAUGAUAAUCGAGAUAUGAAAUAAGGAAAGGAAAAACAAAUAUAAAAGAAAAACUUACAAACAAAUGGCAGAAAUAUUUGUUUAUUGGAAGAAGAUUUUCUUCAUCCAUAGAAAUAGAAAAGUAGUACACUUAGCAGAAUAGUUAACAAUGUUAAGUUGAAGACGGAGGUGUUUAUCUAUUAAAAAAACCUUAAGGGUUUCAUAUUUUGAAGAAAAAUAAGCUCCCCAGAGCUCCUCCUUUCAAUGUCUUCUAUUUCUUACACUCACUCCUUUUUUUUUCCAAACCCUCUCCCUCCCUUUCCCCUCCAAACUCGCAAACGCCUAAAGCUCUGGCUUUGGAUUUUUCUUUGAAGAGAUCGCCUUCUUUCCCUUCCACCACUGUUGAAUAUGAUUGGAAACUUUGGUUGCAUGUUUCUUAAGCGCCGUGCUUGUGUCCACACUCCACAAUUCCUUUUCUUAUCUUCUGUUUCCAGUCACCUUUUUCAUUUUCUUUUGAUCUUAAAACUUUUCCCUACAAGUUGCAGUUUACUCCAAACAUUAGUUAUUCUAAAACGUUUUAAGUCGAGGUGAUCUUAGAAAAACACAUUUCAAUCACAAUGAAAUAGAUGAUUGUACCAAUUUUGAAGGAAAGUCUGCCUCAUCUUCAUCCUCAUCCUCAUCUUCAUUGUCGUCUUCAUUUUCAGCACCGAAAUUCUUUUACAUUAAAUCAUCACUUGAGUACAUUUUCAUAUCGGGCACUCCUGGCAUGCCCUGAAGCAAGAGUCAAGUGUGGUAUGAUCAGAAUGUAUUACUAGCAACAGAAUGCGUCAAGCAAAGUCAUGUAAAGAUAAAGAAAGAAAGAAAUAAAGCAAAAUACCUCCAUAGAUUUUACAAGUUUUUCCAUUUCAGCCUCAUUAGAAGACUUUGCAACAAAUGGUUCACCAGGAGUCCUAGUCCUGUAACACGCAAACAGAACUUCUGAUGAAAACUUAAGCAAAAGGUUCAUAGGGUGAAACUGAAAUACCUAAUUCAAACAGUAAUACUAGAUGCAUGUGAAGUUAAAUACUACCAUAAAAGAAACGAAGUUCUAGUUUCCAAAUUACAAUAUUACAUAGUCCAAAGUAAGGAUAGUCUAACUGAUGUAGCAGAGACCUUACAAUUUUGUCCAAAUAAAUCAGCCUUUUAGACUUUACAAUUGUAUGGGUCGGUCAAUUUAGUCCCUGAACUUUGUAAACUAGCAAUUUAGUCUCUUAAAUUGAACAACACCAAUCAAUACAGUCCUUUUAACACCAAUCAACACCAAUCAAGAUAGACUUCUCUACCAUGAAUUAUAUCAAAUUGGAAUCUUUGGGUGACAUUGCAAUAUUUUGUGUUCCGCCGAAAAGGUAUUAUGCACUGAGAAACCCACGCAUGUGGGGUUAUGAGAACAAUUCUAUCUAUGCCAUCGAUAUUCCAUGUGGCAAAUACAGGAUGUAUAAAGGAGAUAACAAUAAAAUGCCAGAAUUCAUUGUUCCUGGUUUUAAACGUAGUGAACUUCCACAUCCUAGUUAUUGCCGCUCAAAACAACGUUACAUAGAUUGGUGUUUUAGACAUCUACAAUAUGAGGUUGAUUAUAUUCUCGUUGAGUAGCAUGCUUAUUAUUCUACACUUUGGGUUGUACCUUGUUUUAUUUGUUUUUCCUUUGAUUUGCAAAUAAAUGAAUAGGAUUGAAAAAUGUUGCAAUGGUUUACAGUUUUAUUAUUGGACAAGUUUUGAGAUAGUAUAGAGGAUUCAAUGUACCUUUUCCUAACCUGUAGUUGUAGCAUUGCUUGUUGUGGAUUGUGGCACAUUGGGGAGAAGCGUAUCAUGCACCAUGAAAGUUUUAAAUAUAAUUUGACUUGGAAGAGAACCGAUUUUAUAAUAGAAUUUUGAUAUGAUUUUUUUUUUUGGGACAUUAUAUUUUUCUCGAAAAUGAAAUUAACAGUGAUUCCUUUCCCCAUGCCUUGCAAUACAACAAGCAUUUUACGAGGCAUUUUGGGUAUGGGUGGAUUCCUUUGCUACAGCUUACUCUCAAAAGAGGAUUUUUAAUACACUGUUUCUAUCAAUUUUAUAUAUACAACAAUGAGAAGCUGAAAUUAAAUUUUGAAAACUAAUGAUUUAUUUACUUUUUUAUUGAAAACUAUUGAUUUUUUUUUUUUAUAUGUAAGUUAGUGAUAUUAAGAGAUUAAAAGAUGUCCUACAAAAAAAUAGAUUAAAUGAGAUGAGAAUAAACUAUUUUUCUAUAAAUGGCAUAAAAUAGUACAGUAGUAUAAACUUUUUUCCUAUAUUUAUGCAAUAAUACAUUACUUCUUUCCCUAUGUUUAUAGAAAUUGGAUAACAAGGAGAACAAAGUGGAAACAAAUUUGUUUUAUAUUUUGCAAAAUGAUGAUUAUGAUUGACUAUAAAACUUAUUUUGUCGAUUAUGGCAAGUUUUCUCUCAGAAACCGUUCAACCACAACAGAAUAAUGUUGAAACCACAACAAAAGGAGUUUCUUUUACAGGUGAAAAAGCUAUGAUUUCAACACCAAGAAAGAAGAAGGAUCUCAUCAAAGAUAAGUUGGCUCACAUCGAGUAUGCAGAUAAUCAUCCUUGCUUACCUAUGGUUCACUUUGAUGCAUCAGUUUGGGAGGGAUUAAGAUGCGCUAGUGAUCAAACUGUUGGGGAAAUCAGUAGGUUACAACACCAUGAGGGACAGACUUCACAAACUUUGGAAGCUCUCCGCCGGUUUUCAAAUCAUGGAUAACGGGAAUGGUUACUACAUGGUUAAAUUUGACCAUGCAGCGGACAGAGAGAAGGUGACGGAUGGAGGACAUUGGAUAAUGUUUGAUAACUAUUUAACUGUCCAAGAGUGGUCAGAAGAAUUUGCCUCUUCUACCGCCAAAGUAGAGAAGACAAUGGUUUGGACCGGUCUCAAUCUUUUUUAUUAUGAAGAAAGUGUGUUAAUGGCUAUGGCCUCUGCUGUGGGACGUCCCAUUAUGGUGGAUACCAAUACAUACGGUAUGCUCGUAUUUGUGUUGAAGUGAAUCUGAAUAAGCCAGUUGUGGGUAAAGUAUGGAUGAGAAAUCAUUGGUACAAGGUUGAAUAUGAAGGUUUGCAUAGGAUAUGUACUCUGUGGUUGUUACGGUCAUUUGUCCAGGGAGUGCAACAACCAUACGCAGAAGCAAGAAGCUGUUGCGCAAAUGCAGCAGAGUGUCUCUAAUCAUACCAUAAACAAAGACCAGCCACCAAUUGACUUGUUAUCGGUUCAGCACCGCUGCCAAAGGGUCACUCAGAACCCUUGCCACCAAAGAUGAUAACACAACUAACGCUAUUGAACGACAUUGAAGCUUUCCGUUUCGAGGAUAAAGCUAUUGAGGAAUAAGAGAGAUGUGCAGACUAAUCAAUUGAAGAGAGAAUUGGCGAAAUUGCUUGAGAAUGGUCAAGAUCAAACUGCUAGAAUUCGGGUAUUAACAAUUUCAAACAUCAUAUUUUCAUUAAUUUUGUGUUUCUGAUUGUUAGGUUUGUAUUGUGAUGCGACCCUAACACUGAAUGUUUUAAAAAAAAAACUAUAUAAUUGAAUGUAAUGACAUGUGUCGGUGUCAAACAGUGACAUGUGUCAGUGUCAAACAGUGACACUUGUGUUGGACAUCAGACACAUUUUUUUAUUGUUCAACAAGAACCUGACAUGUCGACAUUGAUAAUUGCUAUAAAAACUGAUAUAAUUGAAUGUAAUGACAUGUGUUGAUGUGGUGUCUGUGUCAGACAAUGACACGUGUUGAACAUCAGACACGUUUUUUUAUUACAAGUGUUGGUGAUAUGUAGUUCUUAUCUUAGAUGCCACAAUUGUAACAUAAUUUGUUGUUUUAUUAACUGUGUUACUAAUUUUUAGGUUUGUGUUGUUUUUAUCCUAUGAUGAAGCACAAACACCGAAAACAACACUGACACACACUGAAUAAUGGAGAUUUAUAAUUGUUUUGAAAAAUGUUAGAAUUGAAUGUAAUGACAUAUGUUUGUGUUAGAUACUGACACUUGUUGGACACUUACAUGCUUUAGAUUAGAAGUGCCGGUGCUACAGUUCUAAUCUGCUACAUAUGGGAUUUUGAUUUUUGUGUUAAUGAAGAAUAAACAGGGGGGAUAUUUGGAUUCAAAAAAACGUAAUCAUGUGCUUAUGGUAUAAACAUAUGUGUAAGUGUAUUGAGUGUUUGUGUAUAACUUAAUUUACAGCUUAUAGCAUAAGCGCUUAUAUUUUAAGCUCUUAUUAAUAAACUAUUUCUAUUAUGCAAGAUAAAAUAAAGUUAAAUUGUUUUCUUAUAAGCUAUAGGCUGUUUUAUUAAGUCAUCUUGAAGAACUUAUGGAGGUAAGCUGAAAACAGCUCAUCCACCACCUGUUCAUGAUGAAGCGCGUCCUCCUAGUUCACAUUCUACCUCACAACCUAAACCAAUGCAUGAUGCAUAUACAAGUUCAUACGAGCAGAGUGCAAAUGCUGCUGCUAGAAAUGCUAAUAACUCUACAACAUCAGGCAUGCCUACUACUGAAACCAGAUCUUCAGGUAUUUUUUAAAAGAACGUCAUUACAAUUGAAUAUCUAGGCUUCUUUUCUGCCCAUCACCUGAAUAUGUGUUCUUUUCGCAGGAGGUGGAAGUCAAGAAAUGGAUUUUAGAGAUUCGUAUUCUGAAAACAGAAGUUCAUUUCCUACUGGUCGGCAGAAUUGGAAUAUGGAAUUCAAGGAUGCUGCCUCUGCUGCACAGGCUGCUGCAGAAUCUGCUGAUCGUGCAACCAUGGCUGCAAGAGCAGCUGCAGAAUUUUCAAAUCGUGAAAACAUGAAAAGGCAGCAUUCAAGUGGAUCACAUAGCUCUCCUGGAAGAGGGUCACGAGAUGAAGCACCUACAGACUCUUCUGGUUUUGUUAAUAGCCCCAUCCGUAAAAGCAUUAAUUUUAUAUGUUUUGAAUAUGAUUUGACUUGGAAGAGAACCGAUUUUAUAAUAGAAUUUUGAUAUGAUUUUUUUUUAACAUUAUAUUUUUCUCGAAAAUGAAAUUAAUAGUGAUUCCUUUCCCUUUGCCUUACAAUACAACAAGCAUUUUACGAGAAUCUGAUAUUAAAUUUUAAGAACUUAAUGAGAAUCUGAUUAAAUUUGGAAAACUGAUGAGAAUCUGAUAUCAAUUUUAUAUAUACAACUAUGAGAAUCUGAUAUUAAAUUUUGAAAACUAAUGAUUUAUUUAAUUUUUUCUUAGAGAACUAUUGAUUUUUUAUAUGUAAAUUAGUGAUAUUAAGAAAUUAAAAGAGGUCCUUAAAAAAAAAAAAAAGAUGAAUAUGAUUGGAAACUUUGGUUGCAUGUUUCUUAAGCGCCGUGCUUGUGUCCACAAUUCCUUUUCUUAUCUUCUGUUUCCAGUCACCUUUUUCAUUUUCUUUUGAUCUUAAAACUUUUCCCUACAAGUUGCAGUUUACUCCAAACAUUAGUUAUUCUAAAACGUUUUAAGUCGAGGUGAUCUUAGAAAAACACAUUUCAAUCACAAUGAAAUAGAUGAUUGUACCAAUUUUGAAGGAAAGUCUGCCUCAUCUUCAUCCUCAUCCUCAUCUUCAUCUUCAUCUUCAUCUUCAUCGUCGUCUUCAUUUUCAGCACCGAAAUUCUUUUACAUUAAAUCAUCACUUGAGUACAUUUUCAUAUCGGGCACUCCUGGCAUGCCCUGAAGCAAGAGUCAAGUGUGGUAUGAUCAGAAUGUAUUAUUACUAGCAACAGAAUGCGUCAAGCAAAGUCAUGUAAAGAUAAAGAAAGAAAGAAAUAAAGCAAAAUACCUCCAUAGAUUUUAGAAGUUUUUCCAUUUCAGCCUCAUUAGAAGACUUUGCAACAAAUGGUUCACCAGGAGUCCUAGUCCUGUAACACGCAAACAGAACUUCUGAUGAAAACUUAAGCAAAAGGUUCAUAGGGUGAAACUGAAAUACCUAAUUCAAACUGUAAUACUAGAUGCAUGUGAAGUUAAAUACUACCAUAAAAGAAACGAAGUUCUAGCUUCAAAACAGAACUUCACAGUUUAUGAUACUAUGAAAUCAUACUUGAGAGUACCAUCAAGAGAUGAAGUGGACUAACUAAAGAAUCAGUCAACCAUCCUCACAUUAGGAAUAAGCUCCUAACUCCUUCAGGCUUCAAAACUGGCUUCUUCUUCUCAUUAUAUUCACAUUGUUUUCACACAUUACUUUAGCUGCACAUUGCAUUCUUUCGGAUUGUAAAUAGAGAUUAGAGGUUGUUACACACUGUACCAACAAACAAUACCCUGAUUCAGAUCUCAUUGAUUUCAUUGAAGUAGGAAAUAGUUUCUUUGUGGUUUAGACAGGACAAACUGUUUAUGUACAAUUAACAAAUAAAUUAAUUGCACUUUUUGAAUGUGCAAGUAGAGAUAAUGAUAUAGAAAUGUUGACACAGUCACAUCCUUAGAAAGAAAGAAAAAUACUAUAUAGGUUAAUUCAUACAUGAAACAAAACUUUGCUUGGUCUUCCCAAACUAGGAUUUCAACCUUACACAUUUUGGAAGCAAACAAAACGAUCUAGCAAUAUAUCAUCAUAUCAGAGUAUCUACAUUUGAGUGCUUUUUACCAACACUACCAAUAAUCUGCACAGGAACAUCCUCUUCUUAUUCUAUUCAAAUUGUUGUUCACAUAUGUUAGUUGCACAUUGCAUUCAUUCAGAUUGUACAUAGAGAUAAAGGUCGUUAUGCACUAUACCAAGAAAAAGAGCCUUGAUUCAUUGAUUUCAUUGAAGUAGCAAAUAAAUUUUAUGUUGUUCAGACAGGAUAAUUAAAGGAUAAAUUGCACAUUUUAAAUGUACAAAUGGCGAUAAUGUAUUCGGUUUAUUCUACGCAACCACCACCAUAUUUCUAUUACGUUCCAAUUUUCUUUGGCUAUUUAGUUCUCAACUCAAUUAGACAAGCCAUGAUCAAUAAGAUAUCUGCAGAAACUGAUGUAAUAUCACAACAUGCUCAUGUUGUUCAAAAAUGAGGAAAAGCAAAUAAUUAAUUAUACUGUUGGCCUUUUUAACUCUUCUAGUCUAACAAACAUGCACGACAAAGAAAAUAAGCUAUACAGGUUAAGUCAUAGAUGGAAUAAAAUUUUCUUUCAUCUUUCCAAACAUGGAUUUGAACCUUACAGAUUUUUGGCAGCAAACAAAAUACAAUCUAGCAAUAUAUCAUCAGAGUAUCUACAUUUUUACCAACACUACCAAUAAUCUCCACAAGAGCAUUUUCCAUCUUUGAAAUGAUGGAAUCUCUUGUUGUCCCUCACAAUGAGCUCCCUUCCAACAAUCUUGGACAUGAUUUUGAUAGCAUUGUGACAGUCUCCACAUAUACGUAGAUUCUUGAUAAUUCUAAGAGUAGUCCUCGGCGGAGUACUGAUGAGACCAUAAGCAAUUGCCAAACGUUCACUAUGAUACUGCAAAGCCUUUUCCUUUUCCUCCUCAUCAAUGUCAUGGAGAACGUAUCUCGUAUCAGGAACAUAACCUGCUUCCCUCAUCUGCCCGGUCAAACCUCUCAAUUUCACAUCACCCUCUUCUUUAUACGGCAUAUUACACCGAUAUUCACUUACUCUAUUCUUCUCCUCCAGCAUGUUAAUUGCAGACUGUUUCUUUCUCUGAGGGAGUGGCACUUUAUCAGCAGCAGCUUUCGAAGGAUCAAGAACAGUUAACAACUCAUCAGCACAAUCCUCGCGUUCUAAGUCUCCAUGAAUUCUCGCAAAAUUUCGAAGAGUCUCCCAAAGCUCAACUCCGGCUUCAAUUGGCAUAUUCUCAAUAAACUCGUGAGCUUCAUCCAACCGACCAGCACACCCGAAAAUAUUAACAACUCCCAAAUAAUGCUCCAUCCCUGGAACAAUUCCAUACUCCUUCAUCGAUUCAAACUGCAUUAAACCUUCUUCCACACCGUCAACCAAUGCACACACAGCCAAAACCAACGCAAAAGUUUCCUCAUCAGGCACUACCCCUUGUUGCCUCAUCUGCUUAAAAACCAACAAACCAUCAAUCCCUAAACCAUUCACAUUAUAUCCACCAAUCAUCAAAUUCAACGAACCGACAUUUCUGUCAGGCAUUUUAUCAAACACUUUCCGCGCAUCCUUCACACUACCACAUUUCACGUACAACCCAAUCAAUCUAUUACACAAUUCAACAUUCCCUCCGAAUUUCGACCUUCUCAAGAAUUCAUGAACCCUUUUCCCUAAUUCAAGCGACUUCAAAUCCUCACAUAAUUUCAAAAGCGAAAGAAAAUCACUGUAAUCAGCAAAAGCACCUUGACCCAUUAGUUCUAAAACUUGAUUUACGUUACCCUCUUGAAGAAAAUGCGCAAAGUUUACAUUUUUAUGUUGAUGGGGGGCUUGAUGAUGGUUCAAUUUUGGUUGGAUUGAAGGGUUACCCAUACGUAAAGGUUGAGUUUUUCUGGGAGUGAAACGAGAGUUGUUAGUGCCGUUUUGACGAGGGUGAAGGUUGGUGGCAUGGUGAAUAGCAUAGGUGCAGAAAGGAGUGGAAGAAGAUGAAGAUGAAGCCAUUGAUGCUUGAAGUUUAAGCUCCAUGGAAAUGCUACUGUUACUAUCUUCUAUCCAUUCGUGAAAUACAAACUAAGAUUAAUUUUGAUGAGUAAAACUCCUUUUAUUUUAACAAAAACAACUAAUAACCAAAUUUUUAAAAGGUGGCCGAAGUUUGAAUCAGAUAUAUGCCUUUAUCAACUGUGUUAAGUCUCAUGAGGAUGAAUAGUUGUUAAAUUUGUUUGUAUCGAAUUAAUUUAUAGCAUAGACUAACUUAAAAGAUUUAAUAUAGUAAUGUAGUCUAGAGAUUUGUACAAAAAAAAAAUAUAGUUUAGAGAUUACUUAAUAUUUUUAUAGUUUAUAGAUAAAAUUGAUUGUUUAAUUUAUUUAUUUGGUUACAACUUAUUGUUUAUGCAAUGCUCGAGAGAUUAGUUGCGCGUAGAGGAUAUCUGAUUUACACUAAACUGAUUGUUUAUUCAAUAAUAAGAGUUAUUUUAUACCUCAAUUAAAUAAGUUUUUUUUGUUAACAAAUCAAAAUGAGAUUAAAAACAACCUUGGAUGUUUCCACCCGUGCAAAGAGGAGGAACACCAUGUUCAAGUAUUUAACAAAACUAAAAACAUUUGUUAAUAGUCUCAUUAAUGAUUAUUGAAAUAUUCGAUCGAUGGCAAUAAAUAUCUAUUGAUUGUUUCUUUACUCUAUUAAUACAUAAGGAAAUUCAGAUGUGGGAUGUGGUGGUAAGACUGUAAAUUGAUUGUCAAAAUUUUCAAAAAAGGAUGUCAAUAAUCUCAACAUUUAACACCCGAGGGAACAUCUUAAACAUCACUAUAGUUUAGCUGGUAUACCCUCACUCUCAUACAUAAUUGCCUCACUGAUAAAAUACAUGUAGAUAGCAAAUCCUUGAUUGGAAUAUGAAUCACUCAAAAGUGGUGAUUGUAAAGUCCUCAUUUGAUUGCUUCAGAAUAUUCCUACUUCCAAUCUCUCUUGGUCUCUUGGGUGUAGUACAUGUAACAAAACACUGGAAAUGCCUUGAAAAUAUUCCAUAAUCAGAAGAUGCAGAUUUAGUUUAUGAGGAGCUCUAA